rnacentral:rRNA from 1 species
UACGAAGGGGGCUAGCGUUGCUCGGAAUCACUGGGCGUAAAGGGCGCGUAGGCGGCCUUCUAAGUCGAACGUGAAAUCCCCGGGCUCAACCUGGGAACUGCAUUUGUGACUGCACGGCUAGAGUGUGUCAGAGGGGGGUAGAAUUCCACGUGUAGCAGUGAAAUGCGUAGAGAUGUGGAGGAAUACCGAGUGGCGAAGGCAAUCCCCGUGGCCUGCACUGACGCUCAUGCACGAAAGCGUGGGGAGCAAACAGG